rnacentral:rRNA from 1 species
UGCAAGUCGAGCGGAAGGCCCUUCGGGGUACUCGAGCGGCGAACGGGUGAGUAACACGUGAGCAACCUGCCCCUGACUCUGGGAUAAGCCCGGGAAACUGGGUCUAAUACCGGAUAUGACCGCCCCCGGCAUCGGGUGGUGGUGGAAAGUUUUUUCGGUUGGGGAUGGGCUCGCGGCCUAUCAGCUUGUUGGUGGGGUAGUGGCCUACCAAGGCGACGACGGGUAGCCGGCCUGAGAGGGCGACCGGCCACACUGGGACUGAGACACGGCCCAGACUCCUACGGGAGGCAGCAGUGGGGAAUAUUGCGCAAUGGGCGGAAGCCUGACGCAGCGACGCCGCGUGGGGGAUGACGGCCUUCGGGUUGUAAACCUCUUUCAGCAGGGACGAAGUUGACGUGUACCUGCAGAAGAAGCGCCGGCUAACUACGUGCCAGCAGCCGCGGUAAUACGUAGGGCGCAAGCGUUGUCCGGAAUUAUUGGGCGUAAAGAGCUCGUAGGUGGCUGGUCGCGUCUGCCGUGAAAGCCCGCAGCUUAACUGCGGGUCUGCGGUGGAUACGGGCCGGCUAGAGGUAGGUAGGGGCAAGUGGAAUUCCUGGUGUAGCGGUGAAAUGCGCAGAUAUCAGGAGGAACACCGGUGGCGAAGGCGGCUUGCUGGGCCUUACCUGACGCUGAGGAGCGAAAGCGUGGGGAGCGAACAGGAUUAGAUACCCUGGUAGUCCACGCUGUAAACGUUGGGCGCUAGGUGUGGGGAUCUUCCACGAUCUCCGUGCCGGAGCUAACGCAUUAAGCGCCCCGCCUGGGGAGUACGGCCGCAAGGCUAAAACUCAAAGGAUUGACGGGGGCCCGCACAAGCGGCGGAGCAUGUUGCUUAAUUCGACGCAACGCGAAGAACCUUACUCAGGUUUGACAUCACCCGGAAACGCUCAGAGAUGGGCGCCUCUUCGGACUGGGUGACAGUGGUGCAUGGCUGUCGUCAGCUCGUGUCGUGAGAUGUUGGGUUAAGUCCCC